GGAGUCGGCCGGGCAGUCGCGGCGCGCAAGCGGCGAGGAAAGUCCGGGCUCCGCAGGGCAAGGUGCCAGGUAACGCCUGGGCGGCGCGAGCCGACGGACAGUGCAACAGAAAACAGACCGCCGAUGGCCCCGCAAGGGGAUCAGGCAAGGGUGAAACGGUGCGGUAAGAGCGCACCGCGCGUGGGGACAACGCCACGCGGCACGGCAAACCCCACCUGGAGCAAGGCCAAAUAGGGGAGCCAUGGCGUGGCCCGCGUCGCUCCCGGGUUGGCUGCUGGAGCCCGCCGGUGACGGCGGGCCUAGAGGAAUGACUGUCUAGAACAGAACCCGGCUUACGGGCCGGCUCCUCCU
rnacentral:RNase_P_RNA from 1 species